AUGCAUGAUCAGGUCGACAUCGACCUGGACGGCUUCCCCCUCGACCAUGAGUUCCCGGAGGACUAUGGGCUAGAGGAAGAGGACGAGUGCGACAUCGAAGUGGAGCCUUUGUUCGAGGACGAGCUCGCCAACCAAGCCGUCGGUCCUAAGCCGAACCGCAAGAGCAAGCACACGAAGGCGUACACAGCUGCUGAGGACAAGCUUCUUUGCGAGUGUUGGCGAGACAUUGGACAAGACCCAAAGACGGGUGCCGAGCAAAAGCAUUCGACCUUUUGGACUCGUGUGCACCGAGAGUUUCAUGAGCGCAAGAAGUUUUCACCUUACCAAUUUGUGAGAACACGCGGGUGA
rnacentral:rRNA from 1 species